rnacentral:rRNA from 1 species
GAUGAACGCUGGCGGCGUGCCUAAUACAUGCAAGUCGAGCGAACGGACGAGAAGCUUGCUUCUCUGAUGUUAGCGGCGGACGGGUGGGUAACACGUGGAUAACCUACCUAUAAGACUGGGAUAACUUCGGGAAACCGGAGCUAAUACCGGAUAAUAUUUUGAACCGCAUGGUUCAAAAGUGAAAGACGGUCUUGCUGUCACUUAUAGAUGGAUCCGCGCUGCAUUAGCUAGCUGGUAAGGUAACGGCUUACCAAGGCAACGAUGCAUAGCCGACCUGAGAGGGUGAUCGGCCACACUGGAACUGAGACGCGGUCCAGACUCCUACGGGAGGCAGCAGUAGGGAAUCUUCCGCAAUGGGCGAAAGCCUGACGGAGCAACGCCGCGUGAGUGAUGAAGGUCUUCGGAUCGUAAAACUCUGUUAUUAGGGAAGAACAUAUGUGUAAGUAACUGUGCACAUCUUGACGGUACCUAAUCAGAAAGCCACGGCUAACUACGUG